AAACGACUCUCGGCAACGGAUAUCUCGGCUCUCGCAUCGAUGAAGAACGUAGCGAAAUGCGAUACUUGGUGUGAAUUGCAGAAUCCCGUGAACCAUCGAGUCUUUGAACGCAAGUUGCGCCCCAAGCCUUCGGGCCGAGGGCACGUCUGCCUGGGUGUCAC
rnacentral:rRNA from 1 species